rnacentral:misc_RNA from 1 species
GGUGGCUCAGUUGCCGAUUUAAUUCAACCAAAUCAGCCAUUGGAUGAGAUGUCUAUUGCAUGCAUUUUACGUGAUUUGCUUCAUGCUAUUGAAUACCUCCACUCUGAAGGAAAAAUUCAUCGCGAUAUUAAAGCGGCUAAUAUCUUGCUGUCAGAAAAUGGUGAUGUGAAGGUAGCAGAUUUUGGCGUUUCUGCACAGCUUACAAGGACAAUCUCUAGGAGAAAGACAUUUGUAGGAACACCAUUCUGGAUGGCACCUGAAGUAAUUCAGAACUCAGACGGAUACAAUGAGAAGGCUGAUAUUUGGUCACUUGGGAUAACUGCAAUUGAGAUGGCCAAAGGGGAACCCCCGCUUGCUGAUUUGCACCCCAUGAGAGU